GCUCCAGUAGCUCAGGGGACAGAGCAUUGGUUUCCUAAACCAAGUGUCGCAGGUUCGAAUCCUGCCUGGAGCG
rnacentral:tRNA from 2 species